UUUGCAAAUGAGAAGGCAAAUCUGUCACUGACAAUAGAUGUAAAUGCUCACACACCUCAGGAGGACGGCGGAGCUCUGCUAGUGAGUAUCCUCUUCAAACUGGAGUUACAACGUCAAUCGGAUCUCCAGCACCUCUGUACUAGCGACCUCCUCAUUGGUUGAACUCCACGGAUUACAGUAGUAUCAAUAAUAAGUAGUUAUUGUAACAUUUAAACGAUCUAUUCUUUUCACUUUGAUCUGAUUAUUCGAUCGGGGGAUGUGUAUUUAGAGGCUAGCGUCAUCAGUAAGUUAGUCACUGAGGAUUUUGUUUCUGCAGAACCAUGAGGUCCAGUCGUCUCAUCUGCAGUUUCAUCGGUGUUCUCAUCCACCUGCGGGAGUCCCCUCGAUGUUCAGCUGCAUCCAGCAUUGACGUGCCUCUGAGAGGCGCGGCCGUUCAGUCUUCAACCUAUCUGGGCUGGAUCGCUG